rnacentral:rRNA from 1 species
AACGAACGCUGGCGGCAUGCCUAACACAUGCAAGUCGAACGAGACCUUCGGGUCUAGUGGCGCACGGGUGCGUAACGCGUGGGAACCUGCCCUUAGGUUCGGAAUAACUCCCCGAAAGGGGUGCUAAUACCGGAUAAUGUCUUCGGACCAAAGAUUUAUCGCCUUUGGAUGGGCCCGCGUUGGAUUAGCUAGUUGGUAGGGUAAAAGCCUACCAAGGCGACGAUCCAUAGCUGGUCUGAGAGGAUGAUCAGCCACACUGGGACUGAGACACGGCCCAGACUCCUACGGGAGGCAGCAGUGGGGGAUAUUGGACAAUGGGCGAAGGCCUGAUCCAGCAAUGCCGCGUGAGUGAUGAAGGCCUUAGAGUUGUAAAGCUCUUUUAACCGGGAUGAUAAUGACGGUACCGGGAGAAUAAGCUCCGGCUAACUCCGUG